rnacentral:lncRNA from 1 species
GGGCACCCAGAGCCAACAUUAGUAUUUUCUAGCCACGUAUGAAUAAUUACAUUAAAAAAUUCUGGGACUUCUAGUUUAGGGAAUGCGGUGAGACCACUUAACAAAUGUUUAUGCAUGCCGAUUAUUUUGGCACAAUGACCAAACUCAGUUUUCUGCAGUGUCCUUAGAUUUUUUUUCUUUGUUUAUCCUUUUUUGAGAAAACAUCUCGCCAUAAAUCCUAAUCUGCCUUACGCAUGGAUGAGCUGAAUGGGUUACCGCCGCAUAAACCGAAACUGAUUGCCAUAUGAGAAACAGCUCACUCCUUUGGCGCAGGUCAAGUUCCGCACAGAAAAACGUCACCCUGACACACAAGACAAUAAAUGUGAUUGUUGUAGCUCCAAAUGCAGCGCAAGCAAUACCAUAAAACAUCCAAAAUCAUCCAAGUGUAUACUCCUGGGAACAUCAGAAAUCGUGACCCACGUUUCAGUGAUGUGAAGUACUGCAUGAAAUCGCUAAACAUACCGUACAUACAGUAUCAAAACACACAGAAAGAAAAAAUUAUUCUUUGGCAUCAUGCCUUAAUAACAAUACAAGCGUGCCAUGAUUCUACAGCGUUCUGCAUUGGCAACCCGAGCGUGCAAAAUGUGAAAGACUGAUUGGCAUUAUGUGUUUGUGCAGGUAAACAGUGCUCACCAACCUUCGAUCUGCUGGAACUUCUGAUACCGUCCCAAAAGCUUUCGAGCCAGAACUAUUAAAAUGUUUCAGAUACUUGAGCACAACUUUCAGGAGCUGCACAUCAGACAGCAUACAUCUGUUAAGUCACACGCUGAUGACAUGUCUAAGACAUGCCUAAUGACA